rnacentral:lncRNA from 1 species
GAACUGCUUGUAAUAAGAGAUCCUGCCACUUACUAAUAAUGCCAGUUCUUAUUGAUACAGCAUAUCUUUAUUCAACAUUUAAUAUUUUAUAUUCACUGACUCUUCCAACAUCUCUAACUCAACUAUUUAAUAAGUAAAUAAACCUGAAUUUAACGAUUCCACCAAGGUUUGUAUAAAACAAAAACAAAAAACAAACAAAAAAAGUAAUCCACAAAUAAGCUUCUAGACUAGUGAGAAUAAGUUUACUCGGUUGCAAGCACAAGAACCAAAUAUGAAUGUCAGCAGUAUGGUUUUACACUAUUGGCUAAUAAGAGGGUUUUGAAUUCCACUUAUAAUGUUGGCACACUUUUAUCAACAGUAUUAACGAUCGUUCUUCUGACUUGGGAUCCAGGAGGGCCUGCAUCAGCUGAGGACCACUCAAGAGAUCUUCCCCAGACUCCACCAUGAUUGUGUUUUAGGGAGCUAAAGCACCAUGUGGUGAGAUGCCUCUCCAGGUGCCCUGUUUUCCUGUACCACAGCAUACACUGUGGGGGUACGUGAGCUUGCAAAUCUUUUGUUUGUGAUUCUUCAGCUUCCAGUUAGAGCAAGUAUUUCAUAACACGCUGUCAGGAGUUGUUAUAUUUGGCUUGGCAGUCUCCCCUCAGACAUGAAGGACUCUGUGGAAGUUUCAGGGUAAUUUUCAACCUUUGUCAAAAACUAUUGUCUUUUAGAUUUUUCUCAUUGUUAAGAUGGAACAAUAUGGAGUGCUCACACCACAUUUAAUCUCUAUGCAUAGACAAUUGGAAGGCAGUUUUCUGGGCUGCAGAAAUGUAUGCACACACACACAUACAUACAUACACACACACACACACACACACACACACACACACACACGCAUGCAUGUACACAUAUACUGAAACCUCACAAUUCCCUGCUGUUCAGGUUCAAGGACAUUUACUUGGUUUAGCCACUGACUAAAAGACUCCUGCAACUCACUGAUUCUAUUUUUCCCCCUAAAUCAAACAGUUCAGUUAUACAAUUGGCAUUCUCUCCUCGACGCCUUUGGCUUUCAUAGUGUUUAGGUAGGGAGAUAGAAUCUGGGCUAAAUGAAGUUGUGCAUGUGCAAGUCUAAAUGUGAUGGUCCAGAUGAAUUGCUUCUAAAUGAUGGGUAAAAUCUGGUUUUACAUUUAUUUUCAGGCCCUGAAAUUUGUAUAAAGGAUUGGGGGGGGGUGUUUUGUUUUUUGUUUUUGUUUUUGUUUUUGUUUUUUGACUCUGAUGGGAUACAAUGGCAUGUUUAGUGACUGCUGUAAAGUCACCUAUUAAUUUGUCAAUAUUCACAACACACUUAUUAAGAAUGCUUCUGAAGGAUCUCUACAAGUCUUUCUCCCUCCAUUAAAAAUGAGAAGAUGUAGCUCCAAGUAUGUAGCCCUGUUGUAAGAAUGCUUGCCUCAUAUGCAUGAGAUCUUGAAUUCAAAUCCAUCAUCUGGGUGGAUACACAACUGUAGCCCAGGCACUCAAGAGCUAGAGGCAGGGCAGUCAGAAGUUUGAGGUCAUCCUUGGCUAUAUAGAGUGUGAGGUCAGCUGGGGAUAGAGAAGACCUGGUUUAAAAUAAUAUUAAUAAUAAUAAUAACAACAAUAAAUAAUAAUGAUAUAAAAUGUAGCAAGACAAACAUAGAAACUGAACAUUCUAAGAAGGUGAGCCGACUGAGUUCUAAUUCUGGAAAUAUUACACAGCAAGUUCGUAGAUGACCUGAGCGACCUGGAGCAUUCGGCUUCCUGGAAGCACCGGGAAAUCAAUAACCCCACACCACUUGAGAUCUAAAGUUCAACUUCUUUGCAGCAUAUCGAUCCUUCGGUCUCUGAUUGCUGCCUUCCUCAGAGCAAUGAUGAAUAUGCACACACAGUGGCUGGCUUCUCUCGUACCCCACUGCUGAGCCUGUCAGUCACAGAAGGGAGAGCCACAAGCCCACUCCUUCUCCUCCCUUCUGCGGAGUUGCUACCUGCUCAGCUGACACCACAGGAAUCCAAGCAGGCUGAGGCCAAUGCCCCCUCUGCAGGAUUAGCUCCCCAGUACAAAUAGAGAUGAAAAAACAUGUUAAUGUCAUUUAUUUUCUAAUAUUUUUCUCUCACCAUGCCCACCUUUCUUCUCAUGUGGAUUAAUCCAGUGAAACUUAUUUUCCUACCUUCAGAUGCUCAGUCUGUGAUGGCUCUGAUGCGGUAUCUUCCAAAGUAUCUUAACUUGCUGGUGUGGGUCUCAUUCACUGUAAACUGAAGAAAGAUAGUUGGGGCAGAAAAAUCAAUGUUGUUUUGGCCACGUGUCCCUUCCAGUAUAGCCAACAGACACUUGUACUUUGAAUUAAAAUGUCAAUAAUUUAAAUUACCCAAAUAGGAAGAGUGAGCCUGUGUCCCCAUCCUGUUCAGUAACACUGCAGCGCUGUAGGAAUCUCCUUCCAUCUCAGUAAUGAGAUGGAAUAGAGCAAGAAAUCCUGUGCAUGAUUGUGUGUACUUACAGAUUUCAGAAGCCUAUGAAAAGAUACUAAGCCAGGGUUUGUUAAGGGGAUGGCGAGAAUCAGACUAACAAGAGUCCAAGCCCCCUUCCUUUGCUCAUUAUUAUUGGCUUGUGUGACAGUAACUGGGUAUAAAUUAUGUAGUUCAGUAAUACCAGCUCCCAGCAUCAACAUGAGCUAUCCUCCUGCCUCAACUCCCAGCCCCGAGGGUUUGUGGCAUUGUUCUAAAGACUGUCAACUUGAAUUCUUUCCAUUUGCUUCUCGGUUGACAGGCAGCAUUCGUAAAGGGACAGCUGCCAUGUGGCUGUUUCUGUUAUAUUUGUAGCAGGAGCCUGGCUUGGGUUUGGAGAGCCUCUGGGGAGGCUGAGCCUCUGAGGAAUCACAACAGAUGGCUUUAUUGAGGAGCUAACAGGCGUGGGAGUAGAUGCAGGAAGUGGAAAGACACACCAGCUGGGAGUUGUAUGUCUGCUAGUCCUAAAGGAACUUGAUGGGGACUUCAUGAUUGCCUGAGCUAUAUUAUGUACAUAGAAAAAAAUGGAGAUGAAGAUGUUGUGAAAUCAAAUUAUAAUUGUGAAGACUUUAAAAUGAAGGAGCCUGUCACUGCCCUGUGAAUGGGAGACUCAUCCUCUGGCAGCGCCUGUGAAUGGGAUACCAAUUAGCCAAGGCAUAGUUGGGCAUGAAACCUGGUAGUAGGAUGUUUAUCUAGAAGGUGCAGUGCUCUGGGUUCAAUCCACAGUGCCAGCAAAUGAACAAAUAAAUUGGAGAUCUGGGUGGAUAGCUCUGUGGGUAAAGCGCAUGCCAUACAACUGUGCUGACCAGAGUUCAGAUCCCCAGGAGCCACAUUAAAAAGCUAGCUGUGGUAGAGCACAUGUUCAAUCCCAGAUCUCCUCCACUGAGAUGGGAGGUGAAGAAAAGAGAACAGCCAGAAGCCUGAGGGUCAGGGAGCCUGCGUCAU